GUAAAGAAAGGCCAUGUUGUAAUCCAUGCUGAGGCGGUGGGGCAUAACAAAUUGUGGCACCAAGUUUGUUUCAUUUAUAACAACUGCUAGGAAAUCUUCAUUGUUAUUUAUUCUGAAAUAGUGAAAAUGUAUGGAAUGGUAAAGUAUAUUGUGGCCAUGAGAAACCCCAUAGGACUGGCUGCAAAGUGUGAUAUGGUGAUAUGCAGGCAGAUUAGUAUAUCCAGGCAAAAUACCAAGUCUAGUGUGGGAAACACUGCUGCAGCUUUAAUAGUGGCUCUGUUAUGGCUGGGAAACAGCAAGUGACAGUCAAGGACGAGUCCAUACGCCAGUCGUGCUUUGUGAAGAACUACACUGUGAAGUGUCCAAGGUACCAUAGUGCUCUUGAUCCAGAAGGGAAAUAAGUGAUCUGCAACAAAGUCAACUGCUCUGUAUUCAAAGGACAGCCUGUGUUACUGCUGUACUGAGGAUUAUACUGGCUGAAGUGCAUGUCCAAAGAAGGUUAGAGUCUUUCUGUUCAGAUAAUUGUAAGAAAUAUAGAUAA
rnacentral:lncRNA from 1 species